rnacentral:tRNA from 1 species
AAGAAAUUAGUUAAAUUAUAACAUUAGAUUGUCAAACUAAAAUUAUUAAAUAAUUAAUAUUUCUUA